GGUGACGGAGCGGCGGACGGGUGAGUAACGCGUGGCUAACCUACCCUCUUGACGGGGACAACCACCCGAAAGGGCGGCUAAUACCCGAUGUUGUCUGGAACCGAUGGGUUCCUUUCCAAAGGCGGUCCUGCCGCCGCAAGGGGAUGGGGCUGCGUCCUAUUAGCUAGUUGGUGAGGUAACGGCCCACCAAGGCUUCGAUGGGUAGCUGGUCUGAGAGGACGACCAGCCACAUUGGGACUGAGAUACGGCCCAGACUCCUACGGGAGGCAGCAGUGGGGAAUCUUGGCCAAUGGACGAAAGUCUGAGACAGCGACACCGCGUGGGGGAUGACGGCCUUCGGGUUGUAAACCUCUUUUCUGGGGAAAGAAUAAGGACGGGAGGAAAUGCCCGCCCGAUGACGGUACUCCAGGAAUAAGCAUCGGCUAACUCUGUGCCAGCAGCCGCGGUAAGACAGAGGAUGCGAGCGUUAUCCGGAAUUACUGGGCGUAAAGGGCGUCUAGGCGGUUCGGUAAGUCGUUUGUGAAAUCCCUCGGCUCAACCGAGGACAGUCUUGCGAUACUGCCGAGCUUGGGUGCAGGAGAGGAGGGUGGAACUCACAGAGUAGCGGUGGAAUGCGUAGAUACUGUGAGGUACCCCGAUGGCGAAGGCAACCCUCUGGCCUGCUACCGACGCUGAAGCGCGAAAGCGUGGGGAGCAAAGGGGAUUAGAUACCCCCGUAGUCCACGCCCUAAACAAUGUUCACUUGGUGUCGGCCGCUCAUACUGGUCGGUGCCGAAGCUAACGCGUUAAGUGAACCGCCUGAGGAGUACGGCCGCAAGGCUAAAACUCAAGAGAAUUGACGGGUCCCUGCACAAGCGGUGGAGCACGUGGUUUAAUUCGAUAUAAACGAAGAACCUCACCCAGGCUUGACAUACUAGUGGUAGGAACCUGAAAGGGGGACGACCCUGCCUUCGGGUAGGGAGCUAGUACAGGUGAUGCAUGGCUGUCGUCAGCUCGUGUCGUGGGACGUUGGGUUCAGUCCCGAAACGAGCGCAACCCUUGUCGUUAGUUGCCAGCGGGUAAUGCCGGGGACUCUAACGAGACUGCUGGUGAAUAGCCGGAGGAAGGCGGGGAUGACGUCAAGUCAUCAUGUCCCUUAUGCCUGGGGCGACACACAUGCUACAAUGGGGGGUACAGAGGGUCGCAAUCCCGUAAGGGGGAGCCAAUCCGUAAAAGCCCCUCUCAGUUCGGAUUGAGGUCUGCAACUCGACCUCAUGAAGGUGGAAUCGCUAGUAAUCGCGGGUCAGCCAUACCGCGGUGAAUAUGUACUCAGGGAUUGUACACACCGCCCGUCACACCAACCGAGUGGGGGGUACCUGAAGUCGCUCUUUUAAGGGCGCCUAAGGUAACUUCCGCAAGAGGGGUGAAGUCGUAACAAGGUA
rnacentral:rRNA from 1 species